CGCACCACCCCCUGAGCAGAAGAACUGGUCCACCAGCGUCUCGGCGCCCAGCGGGCAAGUGGCCAGAUGGUCUGGCCAAGUGAGCAGAGAUUUUGCUUUCCUGUCCUUUCUUCAUUGCAUACAUCCCCAAUACCAAGAGAAGUACUAUAUUUAGAGAAGCUUCUGCUUUUAAGUUCUAGAAAUUUAGACUCGGCCUCGGCCUCCACCACUGAUAUACUAUGAAAAUUAAAUGCAUCAUUUCAUGUAAAGGAUUUAGAACAGCACAUGGCACAUAGCAUGCGGGAUCCCAGCUCCCCAACCAGGGAUUGAACCCUCACCCCCUGCAUUGGAAGGCGAAGUCUUAACCACUGGACCGCCGGGGAAGUCCCCAGCCAGUCAUUCUUAUGCAGAUUCUCAUGGGGAGAAGAAAAUGAGUGGUUAAAUGGCAGAAGUGCAACUAUAUUUGGAGUGAGAAGUAACAAAGG